CGCUGCUCGUCUCGGACAACAGACAGGCCAUCCACAAAGAAAUGGAUGUUUAGGGUCAAGCAGAAGCUCACUGCUGCCACGCGUCUCCCUUUGGGAUCAAGAGGCUUUUGUGAACUUAAUUCUGUAAACAUUGUGCAACUCUUGUGGUAUCAGCUCAGAAGAGUUGUUUUCCUGCACUCAAUGCAUUCCAGUCAACAGCUUACAGUCAGAUAACGGCCUUAAAAAGGGUUUGCAGAUGUUUCCAGGAUUUCCAGACCACUGCCUAGUUCUGCUGUUACAGAGCUGUCCAGAGCAGAACAAAGGCCUGUGCUGACACCACAUUAACACAGUCCAG